GAUGAAAACGCAGCGAACGUGCGAAACGUAAUGUGAAUUGCAGAAUUCAGUGAAUCAUCGAAUCUUUGAACGCAUCUUGCGCUCCUUGGUAUUCCGAGGAGCAUGCCUGUUUGAGUGUCGUGAAUACUCUCAACUUCAACCCUUUUUUCGGAAAGGGAGGAAGGUUGGACUUGGGUGUUUGUUGAAGUGCGAGCUUCGACUCAUCCUAAAUGCAUUAGCGAUCUGCCUCGAUCACACACAAUGUGAUAAUUAAAACUAAAGCAUUGUUUAAUGAUCAAGUCGAGACUGCUUCUAACUGUCGCAAGACAAUAACGUGCAUACAUUUGUGCAUGUCAUUUGACCUCAAAUCAGGUAGGACUACCCGCUGAACUUAAGCAUAUCAAUAAGCGGAGGA
rnacentral:misc_RNA from 1 species